rnacentral:rRNA from 1 species
CCUACGGGAGGCAGCAGUAGGGAAUCUUCCACAAUGGACGAAAGCCUGAUGGAGCAACGCCGCGUGAGUGAAGAAGGGUUUCGGCUCGUAAAGUUCUAUUGGCAGGGAAGAAAGUUACAGGUAGUAACUGAGAAUUAUUUGAAGGUUAUUACUUAGAAACUCACGGCUAACUACGUGCCAGCAGGCGCGGUAAUUCGUAGGUGGCAAGCGUUGGCCGGAUUUAUUUGGCGUGACGCGAGUGCAUGCGGUUCAAUAAGUCUGAUGUGAAAGCUUUGGGCUCAAACGGGGAAUUGCAUCAGAAACUGUUGAACUUGAGUGCAGGAGAGGUAAGUGGAACUCCAUGUGUAGCGGUGAAAUGCGUAGAUAUAAGGAAGAACACCAGUGGCGAAGGCGGCUCUCUGGUCUGCAACUGACGCUGAGGCUCGAAAGCGUGGGUAGCGAACAGGAUUAGAUACCCGGGUAGUC